rnacentral:rRNA from 1 species
UACGUAGGGUGCAGCGUAUUGAAUGAAUCUGGGCGUAAAGCGUGCGCAGGCGGCAUGCAAGACAGAUGUGAAAUCCCCGGGCUACACUGGGAACUGCAUUUGUGACUGCAUGGCUAGAGUACGGUAGAGGGGGAUGGAAUUCCGCGUGUAGCAGUGAAAUGCGUAGAUAUGCGGAGGAACACCGAUGGCGAAGGCAAUCCCCUGGACCUGUACUGACGCUCAUGCACGAAGCG